GGGCAUAUGCUUGUCUCAAAGAU
rnacentral:misc_RNA from 1 species